rnacentral:pre_miRNA from 1 species
UCUGGGAGAGCGGCGGUUAAGACUUGCAGUGAUGUUUAGCUAAUGUAUUACAUGAACAUCACGGUGAGUCUGUGCUACCUCUCUCCUCA